GAGCUGGAGACUUAGGGAGGAGACGUCUUGUUCUAGUUUCAGGGUCGUGGAGCUGCAGACUGAGGCAGGAGCAUUGUUGUUAUAGUUCGAGGGUCAGAAAGCUGGCGACCCAGGGAGGAGAGGUCUUCUUCUGGUGUGAGGGUCGUGGAGCUGCAGACGCAGGGAGGAGCAAUUUUGUUGUAGUUCGACGGUCAGGAAGCUGGCGACCCAGGGAGAGGUCUUGUACUAGUCUGAGGGUCGUGGAGCUGCAGACCCAGGGAGGGGCAAUGUUGUUGUAAUUCGAGGGUCAGGAAGCUGGCGACCCAGGGAGGAGAGGUCUUGUUCUAGUUUGAGGGUCGUGGAGCUGCAGACCCAGGGAGGAGCCAUGUUGGUUUGAAUGUUCUGGAGAUCCAGAGAGGAACCGGUGUUGCUGUUCUAGUCUGAACAGAUCUAGAGUUCUGGG
rnacentral:lncRNA from 1 species